rnacentral:rRNA from 1 species
GAAGAAGCACCGGCUAACUCCGUGCCAGCAGCCGCGGUAAUACGGAGGGUGCGAGCGUUAAUCGGAAUUACUGGGCGUAAAGCGCAUGCAGGUGGUUUGUUAAGUCAGAUGUGAAAGCCCGGGGCUCAACCUCGGAACUGCAUUUGAAACUGGCAGACUAGAGUACUGUAGAGGGGGGUAGAAUUUCAGGUGUAGCGGUGAAAUGCGUAGAGAUCUGAAGGAAUACCGGUGGCGAAGGCGGCCCCCUGGACAGAUACUGACACUCAGAUGCGAAAGCGUGGGGAGCAAACAGGAUUAGAUACCCUGGUAGUCCACGCUGUAAACGAUGUCUACUUGGAGGUUGUGGCCUUGAGCCGUGGCUUUCGGAGCUAACGCGUUAAGUAGACCGCCUGGGGAGUACGGUCGCAAGAUUAAAACUCAAAUGAAUUGACGGGGGCCCGCACAAGCGGUGGAGCAUGUGGUUUAAUUCGAUGCAACGCGAAGAACCUUACCUACUCUUGACAUCCAGAGAAUCUAGCGGAGACGCUGGAGUGCCUUCGGGAACUCUGAGACAGGUGCUGCAUGGCUGUCGUCAGCUCGUGUUGUGAAAUGUUGGGUUAAGUCCCGCAACGAGCGCAACCCUUAUCCUUGUUUGCCAGCGAGUAAUGUCGGGAACUCCAGGGAGACUGCCGGUGAUAAACCGGAGGAAGGUGGGGACGACGUCAAGUCAUCAUGGCCCUUACGAGUAGGGCUACACACGUGCUACAAUGGCGCAUACAGAGGGCGGCCAACUUGCGAAAGUGAGCGAAUCCCAAAAAGUGCGUCGUAGUCCGGAUUGGAGUCUGCAACUCGACUCCAUGAAGUCGGAAUCGCUAGUAAUCGUGGAUCAGAAUGCCACGGUGAAUACGUUCCCGGGCCUUGUACACACCGCCCGUCACACCAUGGGAGUGGGCUGCAAAAGAAGUGGGUAGUUUAACCUUCGGGAGGACGCUCACCACUUUGUGGUUCAUGACUGGGGUGAAGUCGUAACAAGGUAGCGCUAGGGGAACCUGGCGCUGGAUCACCUCCUUA